rnacentral:rRNA from 1 species
GACGAACGCUGGCGGCGUGCUUAACACAUGCAAGUCGAACGAUGAAGCUGGAGCUUGCUCCGGUGGAUUAGUGGCGAACGGGUGAGUAACACGUGAGCAAUCCGCCCUUGACUCUGGGAUAACUGCGGGAAACUGUAGCUAAUACCGGAUACUUUCGAUGGAAGGCAUCUUCUGGUGAAGAAAGAAUUUCGGUCAAGGAUGAGCUCGCGGCCUAUCAGCUUGUUGGUGAGGUAACGGCUCACCAAGGCGACGACGGGUAGCCGGCCUGAGAGGGUGACCGGCCACACUGGGACUGAGACACGGCCCAGACUCCUACGGGAGGCAGCAGUGGGGAAUAUUGCACAAUGGGCGCAAGCCUGAUGCAGCAACGCCGCGUGAGGGAUGAAGGCCUUCGGGUUGUAAACCUCUUUUAGCAGGGAAGAAGCGAAAGUGACGGUACCUGCAGAAAAAGCACCGGCUAACUACGUGCCAGCAGCCGCCGUAA